rnacentral:rRNA from 1 species
CCUACGGGAGGCUGCAGUCGAGAAUCUUCGUCAAUGGGCGAAAGCCUGAACGAGCGACGCCGCGUGUGGGAUGAAGGCCUUUGGGUUGUAAACCACUGUCGAGGGGGAUGAAGGCUUGAGGGUACUCCUUCAAGUUUGACAGAGCCCUGGAGGAAGCACGGGCUAAGUUCGUGCCAGCAGCCGCGGUAAUACGAACUGUGCGAACGUUAUUCGGAAUCACUGGGCUUACAGGGUGCGUAGGCGGCUUAGCAAGUCAGGUGUGAAAGCCCCCGGCUCAACCGGGGAACUGCGCUUGAAACUGCUGAGCUCGAGUCAGCUAGAGGUACACGGAACUUCCAGUGGAGCGGUGAAAUGUGUUGAUAUUGGAAGGAACACCGGAGGCGAAAGCGGUGUACUGGGGCUGGUCUGACGCUGAGGCACGAAAGCCAGGGGAGCGAACGGGAUUAGAUACCCUUGUAGUCC